rnacentral:tRNA from 1 species
GCCGCCAAGAUGGUACAUAAACGCACCUGAGGAC